rnacentral:rRNA from 1 species
AGUGGCGGACGGGUGAGUAACGCGUAGGAAUCUACCUGAUAGUGGGGGAUGGCCCGAAGAAAUUCGGAUUAAUACCGCAUAAUCUAUUCGUAGUAAAGUGGGGGACUUUCGAGCCUCACGCUAUCAGAUGAGCCUGCGUAAGAUUAGCUAGUUGGUAGGGUAAAAGCCUACCAAGGCGACGAUCUUUAGCUGGUCUGAGAGGAUGAUCAGCCACAUCGGGACUGAGACACGGCCCGAACUCCUACGGGAGGCAGCAGUGGGGAAUAUUGGACAAUGGGGGCAACCCUGAUCCAGCAAUACCGCGUGUGUGAAGAAGGCCUGAGGGUUGUAAAGCACUUUCAAUUGUGAAGAAAAGCUAGUGGUUAAUAGCCAUUAGCCUUGACGUUAACUUUAGAAGAAGCACCGGCUAACUCCGUGCCAGCAGCCGCGGUAAUACGGAGGGUGCAAGCGUUAAUCGGAAUUACUGGGCGUAAAGCGUGCGUAGGCGGUUUAUUAAGUCAGAUGUGAAAGUCCCGGGCUUAACCUGGGAACUGCAUUUGAAACUGGUCAACUAGAGUAUGGUAGAGGAAAGUGGAAUUUCUGGUGUAGCGGUGAAAUGCGUAGAUAUCAGA